GACAGAGGGUGCAAACGUUGUUCGGAUUUACUGGGCGUAAAGCGCGUGUAGGCGGCUUGGCAAGUCGGAUGUGAAAGCCCUCGGCUUAACUGAGGAAGUGCACCCGAAACUGAGUAGCUAGAGUACGAAAGAGGGUCGCGGAAUUCCCGGUGUAGAGGUGAAAUUCGUAGAUAUCGGGAGGAACACCGGUGGCGAAGGCGGCGACCUGGGUCGAGACUGACGCUGAGGCGCGAAAGCGUGGGGAGCAAACAGG
rnacentral:rRNA from 1 species